rnacentral:rRNA from 1 species
GUAUUCCGAAGAGUAUGUCUGUUUGAGUGUCAUGAAAUUCUCAACCCCCUUAUUUUGUAAUGAGAUAGGUGAGGGCUUGGAUUAUGGCUGUCUGCUGGCUUUAAGUCGGCUCGGCUGAAAUAUACGAGCUAUCGAAUUUGAAAUAAACGAUUUGACUCGGCGUAAUAAUUGUUUCGCUGGGAACGUUUUAUUCAAGACAGUGAUGCUUCUAAUAUGGUUUUCCGUUUAAGCUUUAGACCUCAAAUCAGAUAGGACUACCCGCUGAACUUAAGCAUAUCAAUAAGCGGAGGAAAAGAAACUAACAAGGAUUCCCCUAGUAACGGCGAGUGAAGUGGGAAAAGCUCAACUUUGAAAUCUGGCAGCUUCGCUGUCCGAGUUGUAGUCUCGAGAAGUGUUUUCCGCGCUGGCACGUGUAUGAGUCUGUUGGAACACAGCGUCAUAGAGGGUGAGAACCCCGUUCACGACACGUCUNCCAAUGCUUUGUGAUACNCUUUCGAUGAGUCGAGUUGUUNGGGAAUGCAGCUCAAAAUGGGUGGUAAAUUCCAUCUAAANCUAAAUA